AACGUAGGUGGCAAGCGUUAUCCGGAUUCACUGGGCGUAAAGGGCACGCAGGCGGUCUAGAAGGUAGGGCAUGAAAUCUCCUGGCUUAACUGGGAGGCGCUGUCCUAAACCGCUAGACUUGAGGGUAAGAGAGGGAAGUGGAAUUGCCGGUGUAGUGGUGAAAUGCGUAGAGAUCGGCAGGAACACCAGUGGCGAAGGCGGCUUCCUGGCUUACUUCUGACGCUCAGGUGCGAAAGCUAGGGGAGCGAACGGG
rnacentral:rRNA from 1 species